rnacentral:rRNA from 1 species
UACGAAGGGGGCAAGCGUUGUUCGGAAUUACUGGGCGUAAAGCGGGUGUAGGCGGAUUACUAAGUCGGGGGUGAAAGCCUAGGGCUCAACCCUGGAAUUGCCAUUGAUACUGGUGAUCUUGAGUGCAGGAGAGGGGGUUGGAAUGUCUAGUGUAGAGGUGAAAUGCGUAGAUAUCAGGCAGAACACCAAAGGCGAAGGCGGAUCCCUGUGUCGAUACUGACGCUGAGGCCCGAAAGCGUGGGGAGCAAACAGG